GAAAGCACCAGCCAGGCACCAUGACCAAUGAACCUCUUCCCAGGUCCUUUCAAUCUCCUUCCACUUCCACCUGUGGACUGGCCACCUGGCAGCUCUGUCCUGAAAAUUCAGCUGGAGAACGCCUGCUCCAAGCCGGACGACGACAUUCUAGACAUCCCGCUGGACGAUCCCGGCGCCAACGCGGCCGCCGCCAAAAUCCAGAACUGAGCAUUUUCAAAGUUCCCGAGGAGAGAUGGAUGCCGCGUCCCCUUCGCAGCGACGAGACUUCCCUGCCGUGUUUGUGACCCCCUCCUGCCCAGCAACCUGCCAGCUACAGGAGCCCCCUGCGUCCCAGAGACUCCCUCACCCAGGCAGGCUCCGUCGCGGAGUCGCUGAGUCCGUGCCCUUUUAGUUAGUUCUGCAGUCUAGUAUGGUCCCCAUUUGCCCUUCCACUCCACCCCACCCUAAACCAUGCGCUCCCAAUCUUCCUUCUUUUGCUUCUCGCCCACCUCUUCCCGCACCCAGCAUGCAGCUCUGCCUCCGCAGCCUCAGUGCGCUUUCCUGCGCGCACUGCGGAGGGCGCCCUAAGCGUCACCCAAGCACACUCACUUAAAGAAAAAACGAGUUCUUUCGUUCUGUGCGCAGCUAAAAGGGGCGCCCUACAUCUCCGUGCCACUCCCGCCCCAGCCUAGCCCCAAGACUUUGGAUCCGGGGCGAGAUGAAGGGAAGAGGGUUGUUUUGGUUUCGGACGACCCUUGCUCUGACCGGAAGAGAAGUCCCUAUCCCACACCUGCCUGUCACGUUCCCUCCCCUUUCCCCAGCGCACUGUUGAGGGCAGCCUCUCCAGCUCUCUUGUUUAUGCAAACGCCGAGCGCCUGGGAGGCUCGGUAGGAGGAGUCUUCCACGGCCCCGCCCCGCCCCUGUCGGUCCCGCCCUCCCCCCCGCCGGGCUCCUGGGGCUGUGGCCGAAAGGUUUCUGAUCUCCGUGUGUGCAUGUGACUGUGCUGGGUUGGAAUGUGAACAAUAAAGAGGAAUGUCCAAGUGUUC
rnacentral:lncRNA from 1 species